rnacentral:rRNA from 1 species
GUAGGUGGCAAGCGUUGUCCGGGAAUUAUUGGGGCGUAAAGCGCGCGCAGGCGGUUCUUUAAGUCUGAUGUGAAAGCCCACGGGCUCAACCGUGGAGGGUCAUUGGAAACUGGAGAACUUGAGUACAGAAGAGGAAAGCGGAAUUCCACGUGUAGCGGUGAAAUGCGUAGAGAUGUGGAGGAACACCAGUGGCGAAGGCGGCUUUCUGGUCUGUAACUGACGCUGAGGCGCGAAAGCGUGGGGAGCAAACAGGAUUAGAUACCCUGGUAGUCCACGCCGUAAACGAUGAGUGCUAAGUGUUAGGGGGUUUCCGCCCCUUAGUGCUGCAGCUAACGCAUUAAGCACUCCGCAUGGGGAGUACGGCCGCAAAGGCUG